AUUGAACGCUGGCGGCAGGCCUAACACAUGCAAGUCGAGCGGAUGAAGGGAGCUUGCUCCUGGAUUCAGCGGCGGACGGGUGAGUAAUGCCUAGGAAUCUGCCUGGUAGUGGGGGAUAACGUCCGGAAACGGGCGCUAAUACCGCAUACGUCCUGAGGGAGAAAGUGGGGGAUCUUCGGACCUCACGCUAUCAGAUGAGCCUAGGUCGGAUUAGCUAGUUGGUGGGGUAAAGGCCUACCAAGGCGACGAUCCGUAACUGGUCUGAGAGGAUGAUCAGUCACACUGGAACUGGGACACGGUCCCGGCUCCUACGGGAGGCAGCCGUGGGGAAUAUUGGACAAUUGGCGGAAGCCUGGUCCAGCCCUGCCGCGUGUGUGAAGGAGGUCUUCGGAUUGUUAAGCACUUUAAGUUGGGAGGAAGGGCAGUAAGUUAAUACCUUGCUGUUUUGACGUUACCAACAGAAUAAGCACCGGCUAACUUCGUG
rnacentral:rRNA from 1 species